UUUGAGAAGACCUGUCCUUAGUACGAGAGGACCGGGAUGGACGUCCCUCUGGUGUACCAGUUGUCCUGCCAAGGGCAUGGCUGGGUAGCUAUGUACGGAAUGGAUAAGCGCUGAAAGCAUCUAAGCGCGAAGUCAACUUCAAGAUAAGAUUUCCCACCGCAAGGGUAAGACCCCAGAAAGACUAUCUGGUUGAUAGGUCGAA
rnacentral:rRNA from 1 species